AGCCUCGUGGUGAAGAACACAUUGGAUUGCAAAUCCAAAGACGCAGUCUAAUCUCUGCCGGGGCUU
rnacentral:tRNA from 1 species